rnacentral:rRNA from 1 species
AUUGAACGCUGGCGGCAUGCUUUACACAUGCAAGUCGAACGGCAACAGGCCGCAAGGUGCUGACGAGUGGCGAACGGGUGAGUAAUGCAUCGGAACGUGCCCAGUCGUGGGGGAUAACGCAGCGAAAGCCGUGCUAAUACCGCAUACGAUCUAUGGAUGAAAGCGGGGGACCGUAAGGCCUCGCGCGAUUGGAGCGGCCGAUGUCAGAUUAGGUAGUUGGUGGGGUAAAGGCCUACCAAGCCGACGAUCUGUAGCUGGUCUGAGAGGACGACCAGCCACACUGGGACUGAGACACGGCCCAGACUCCUACGGGAGGCAGCAGUGGGGAACUUUGGACAAUGGGCGCAAGCCUGAUCCAGCAAUGCCGCGUGCAGGAAGAAGGCCUUCGGGUUGUAAACUGCUUUUGUACGGAACGAAACGGUCUGGGUUAAUACCCUGGGCUAAUGACGGUACCGUAAGAAUAAGCACCGGCUAACUACGUGCCAGCCGCCGCAGUAACAC